GACGAACGCUGGCGGCGUGCUUAACACAUGCAAGUCGAACGAAGAGCGAUGGAAGCUUGCUUCUAUCAAUCUUAGUGGCGAACGGGUGAGUAACGCGUAAUCAACCUGCCCUUCAGAGGGGGACAACAGUUGGAAACGACUGCUAAUACCGCAUACGAUCUAAUCUCGGCAUCGAGGAUAGAUGAAAGGUGGCCUCUACAUGUAAGCUAUCACUGAAGGAGGGGAUUGCGUCUGAUUAGCUAGUUGGAGGGGUAACGGCCCACCAAGGCGAUGAUCAGUAGCCGGGCUGAGAGGAUGAACGGCCACAUUGGGACUGAGACACGGCCCAGACCUCUACGGGAGGGAGCAGGGGGGAAUCUUCCGCAAUGGACGAAAGGCUGACGGAGCAACGCCGCGGGAGUGAUGACGGCCUUCGGGUUGUAAAGCUCUGUUAAUCGGGACGAAAGGCCUUCUUGCGAAUAGUGAGAAGGAUUGACGGUACCGGAAUAGAAAGCCACGGCUAACUACGUG
rnacentral:rRNA from 1 species